UAGAGUUUGAUCCUGGCUCAGGACGAACGCUGGCGGCGUGCCUAACACAUGCAAGUCGAGCGAUGAAGUUCCUUCGGGAAUGGAUUAGCGGCGGACGGGUGAGUAACACGUGGGCAACCUGCCUCAAAGUGGGGGAUAGCCUCCCGAAAGGGAGAUUAAUACCGCAUAACAUUAUCUCUUUGCAUGAAGAGAUAAUCAAAGGAGCAAUCCGCUUUGAGAUGGGCCCGCGGCGCAUUAGCUAGUUGGUGAGGUAACGGCUCACCAAGGCGACGAUGCGUAGCCGACCUGAGAGGGUGAUCGGCCACAUUGGAACUGAGAUACGGUCCAGACUCCUACGGGAGGCAGCAGUGGGGAAUAUUGCGCAAUGGGGGAAACCCUGACGCAGCAACGCCGCGUGAGUGAUGAAGGUCUUCGGAUUGUAAAACUCUGUCUUUGGGGACGAUAAUGACGGUACCCGAGGAGGAAGCCACGGCUAACUACGUGCCAGCAGCCGCGGUAAUACGUAGGUGGCAAGCGUUGUCCGGAUUUACUGGGCGUAAAGAGUAUGUAGGCGGACAUUUAAGUCAGAUGUGAAAUCCCCGGGCUUAACCUGGGAGCUGCAUUUGAUACUGGGUGUCUAGAGUGUAGGAGAGGAAAGUGGAAUUCCUAGUGUAGCGGUGAAAUGCGUAGAGAUUAGGAAGAACACCAGUGGCGAAGGCGACUUUCUGGACUAUAACUGACGCUGAGAUACGAAAGCGUGGGGAGCAAACA
rnacentral:rRNA from 1 species